AGUCUGUCAAUAUUAAAAAUAUUGUAUUCUUUAUUUAGGCACGUUACUCACAUAGAGGGUACCUUGAAAAUUAUUCUCAUCGAGUACCAUUAUUAUUGUUUUACUCUUCUUCAAAUGGAUAUGUAUAAGGUAUUACUAGUGUUGUGUGGGUCUGGACUGAAUAAACCGGACCGACUAUCCAUCGGUCUAAACUGAGUUAGUCGAUGGACUGCGAUCCGGACAGAUAAAAAUUAGAAAAAGAAAACAUAGCAUUCCUAUGGCUUCGCAGGCCCGUUGUAUAAUUGUAAGAGCUUCUCUUCUUUUGUGGUGUACGUCUUCAGUCUUCAGUAUAGGAUCAUUUUUUGGAACGAACCCAGUGAGUCUCUUACUUGAUCGACUCAGCCCGAUAAUGCACCGAUCCAACACUAGGAAUUCAAUUCAUUUUUUUUCAAAAAGUCAUUAACCCUGUGUUAGGGAACAUUCUUUUUUAUUUUUUGUAUGCAGUUAGUGGUUAUUAUAAGAAUUUUACUACAUGAUGCAGAAUCGAAAUUACAUUAUUCAAAAACA
rnacentral:lncRNA from 1 species